rnacentral:tRNA from 1 species
CGGGGAGUACGAGAAUUGGGAUAUCGGCUGAGCAGCGCGCUCAGUGUCGUGGUGGUUCGAGUCCACCUUCCCCGACCA